AGAUAGAGAGAAACGGGUUCUUACAUAGCACUACUCCAUACAUCAAAUUCGAGUUUCCAAUCAACCACUACAUCACCAAGCAUCCACAGCCCACCUUCCAUUCGUUCUGAGGCAGCCCCGGAGUUCUCCGAUUCCAUUGUCUUCUCCAAUUGCUAAAAAUCGACCGAAUCCAUUAAUCUCUUUUUCGGCCGGAUUCAAGGUAAUCAAGAGACCGAAGAACAGAAUCCUCUUCAAGAUGAUCAGUACCAGGGUGAGGACCUCCUAGCCGAGGAAGGGGAGUUUGUCGAGCCUUGGAUGCCUUACCAUUAGAAGUUCUGUUAAUUUAAAGUAUUGUUAUUGAAAUUUUCAAAAGUGUUAUCACAUUUAUCAAACUCUGUUUUAUUUCGUUGGGUUGUAAGACAGUUAAGUAUUUUUGAAUUUAGUAUUUGAGAUUUCUGCGCUAAAAUCUGUUUAAUAAAAUCUUAUUU